rnacentral:rRNA from 1 species
UACGAAGGGGGGCUAGCGUUGCUCGGGAAUCACUGGGCGUAAAGCGCACGUAGGGCGGAUUGCUAAAGUCAGGGGUGAAAUCCUGGAGCUCAACUCCAGAACUGCCCUUGAUACUGGCGGUCUCGAGUCCGGGAGAGGUGAGUGGAACUGCGAGUGUAGAGGUGAAAUUCGUAGAUAUUCGCAAAGAACACCAGUGGCGAAGGCGGCUCACUGGCCCGGUACUGACGCUGAGGUGGCGAAAGCGUGGGAGCAACAGGAUAGAUACC